GGCGGCGUGCUUAACACAUGCAAGUCGAACGGUGAACCUUGGAGCUUGCUCUAAGGGGAUCAGUGGCGAACGGGUGAGUAACACGUGAGUAACCUGCCCCGGACUCUGGAAUAAGCGCUGGAAACGGCGUCUAAUACCGGAUACGAGACGCAACCGCAUGGUUAGUGUCUGGAAAGUUUUUCGGUCUGGGAUGGACUCGCGGCCUAUCAGCUUGUUGGUGAGGUAAUGGCUCACCAAGGCGACGACGGGUAGCCGGCCUGAGAGGGCGACCGGCCACACUGGGACUGAGACACGGCCCAGACUCCUACGGGAGGCAGCAGUGGGGAAUAUUGCACAAUGGGCGAAAGCCUGAUGCAGCGACGCCGCGUGAGGGAUGACGGCCUUCGGGUUGUAAACCUCUUUCAGCAGGGAAGAAGCGAAAGUGACGGUACCUGCAGAAGAAGCACCGGCUAACUACGUGCCAGCAGCCGCGGUAAUACGUAGGGUGCGAGCGUUGUCCGGAAUUAUUGGGCGUAAAGAGCUUGUAGGCGGUUUGUCGCGUCUGCUGUGAAAAUCCGGGGCUCAACCCCGGACUUGCAGUGGGUACGGGCAGACUAGAGUGUGGUAGGGGAGACUGGAAUUCCUGGUGUAGCGGUGAAAUGCGCAGAUAUCAGGAGGAACACCGAUGGCGAAGGCAGGUCUCUGGGCCACUACUGACGCUGAGAAGCGAAAGCAUGGGGAGCGAACAGGAUUAGAUACCCUGGUAGUCCAUGCCGUAAACGUUGGGCGCUAGGUGUGGGACUCAUUCCACGAGUUCCGUGCCGCAGCUAACGCAUUAAGCGCCCCGCC
rnacentral:rRNA from 1 species